UUUUUUACAUUUUGGGGUUUAGGGGACAGGAUGUUGCAUGUUUACAGAUUGCAAAGCUGAACAAAAUAAAAUGAUUUGAAUUGAAUAAACAUGUUGACCAGAGGAAUCUGCAAUUGAGGGGUGUUCUCUGCACUCUGACUCCCUUUACACAAAGAAUCCUCAAGUGAGGAUGAGGGAGAUGAUUUCAGGAAGUGAAGCGGCUCGGGGACUUUCCUCACUGCAGAAACAGCAGAUUAAAUCCAUAAUUCCCGUGAGAAGCGGCAGAGGUAAGACGUGUGUGUGUGUGUGUGUGUGUGUGUGUGUGUGUGUGUGUGUGUGUGUGUGUGUGUGUCUUUGCUGGCUCGCUGUGUGUUUCACAGUAACUCUGCAGGCUUUGUCUCACUCAAUGAUUCAUAAUCCACCGAUUCGCUGCUGUUCUUUGGCUCCAACGUCCGCGAGCUUCAAGCACCGACAAAAUGUCCCACUCGGUCCAAAGGUUGUGGACAAACCUGCACGUCAUAUGUGACUCUUCCCCACCAGCUAAAGCAGGUUGGUGUGAAGGUGUGAAGGUGUGGACUCUGCUAUGAAUCAGGCUGAGGACCCAGAGGACGGAGUCCCUCCCUCUGAAGCCCCUCUGUGUGGGGAACAUGACAGCCAGACCAAAGCUCAGAGGAUCCAUCAGAGACCAGGACCUGGACCUGGACCCAGCUGUGUGUCCAUGAAGAGUAACCAGUCUAUGAGUCAUCCUCUAAAAUUCAAAAUUC
ensembl:lncRNA